rnacentral:rRNA from 1 species
AUUGAACGCUGGCGGCAGGCCUAACACAUGCAAGUCGAGCGAGCGGCGGACGGGUGAGUAAUGUAUGGGGACUGCCCGAUGGAGGGGGAUAACUACUGGAAACGGUGGCUAAUACCGCAUACUGUCGGUUACCCCCUAUGGGAUUAGCUAGUAGGUAGGGUAAUGGCUUACGUAGGCGACGAUCCCUAGCUGGUCUGAGAGGAUGAUCAGCCACACUGGGACUGAGACACGGCCCAGACUCCUACGGAGGCAGCAGUGGGGAAUAUUGCACAAUGGGCGCAAGCCUGAUGCAGCCAUGCCGCGUGUAUGAAGAAGGCCUUAGGGUUGUAAAGUACUUUCAGUCGGGAGGCGUUACCGACAGAAGAAGCACCGGCUAACUCCGUGCCAGCCGCCGCGGUAAUAC